AACCCAUGGUGUGGGCAUUGGUUUCCUGAAUCUCUGAUAUGCUUCACCAAAACUCUCAUUGCUGUGCUGAGUGAAGCUAGAGAUUUGGUUCCUCAGUUU
rnacentral:snoRNA from 1 species